ACUCCUACGGGAGGCAGCAGUGGGGAAUAUUGGACAAUGGGCGCAAGCCUGAUCCAGCCAUGCCGCGUGAGUGAUGAAGGCCCUAGGGUUGUAAAGCUCUUUCACCGGUGAAGAUAAUGACGGUAACCGGAGAAGAAGCCCCGGCUAACUUCGUGCCAGCAGCCGCGGUAAUACGAAGGGGGCUAGCGUUGUUCGGAUUUACUGGGCGUAAAGCGCACGUAGGCGGACUAUUAAGUCAGGGGUGAAAUCCCGGGGCUCAACCCCGGAACUGCCUUUGAUACUGGUAGUCUUGAGUUCGGGAGAGGUGAGUGGAAUUCCGAGUGUAGAGGUGAAAUUCGUAGAUAUUCGGAGGAACACCAGUGGCGAAGGCGGCUCACUGGCUCGAUACUGACGCUGAGGUGCGAAAGCGUGGGGAGCAAACAGGAUUAGAUACCCCUGUAGUCCCAUGAU
rnacentral:rRNA from 1 species